GAUGAACGCUGGCGGCGUGCCUAAUACAUGCAAGUCGAGCGAACGGACGAGUAGCUUGCUUCUCUGAUGUUAGCGGCGGACGGGUGAGUAACACGUGGAUAACCUACCUAUAAGACUGGGAUAACUUCGGGAAACCGUAGCUAAUACCGGAUAAUAUUUUGAACCGCAUGGUUCAAAAGUGAAAGACGGUCUUGCUGUCACUUAUAGAUGGAUCCGCGCUGCAUUAGCUAGUUGGUAAGGUAACGGCUUACCAAGGCAACGAUGCAUAGCCGACCUGAGAGGGUGAUCGGCCACACUGGAACUGAGACACGGUCCAGACUCCUACGGGAGGCAGCAGUAGGGAAUCUUCCGCAAUGGGCGAAAGCCUGACGGAGCAACGCCGCGUGAGUGAUGAAGGUCUUCGGAUCGUAAAACUCUGUUAUUAGGGAAGAACAUAUGUGUAAGUAACUGUGCACAUCUUGACGGUACCUAAUCAGAAAGCCACGGCUAACUACGUG
rnacentral:rRNA from 1 species